UUUAGCAUAUCAAUAAGCGGAGGAAAAGAAACCACAGGGAUUGCCUCAGUAACGGCGAGUGAAGUGGCAACAGCUCAAAUUUGAAAUCUGGUUCCUCUGGGGCCCGAGUUGUAAUUUGUAGAGGAUGUCUUCGGGUUUGGCCCCGGCCUAAGUUCCUUGGAACAGGACGUCACAGAGGGUGAGAAUCCCGUAUGUGGCUGGAGGUCUAUGCCCAUGUGAAGCUCCUUCGACGAGUCGAGUUGUUUGGGAAUGCAGCUCAAAAUGGGUGGUAAGUUUCAUCUAAAGCUAAAUACUGGCGGGAGACCGAUAGCGCACAAGUAGAGUGAUCGAAAGAUGAAAAGCACUUUGGAAAGAGAGUUAAAAAGUACGUGAAAUUGUUGAAAGGGAAGCGCUUGCGACCAGACUUGCCCUUAGUUGAUCAACUGGUGUUCUUCACCAGUGCACUCGGCUAAGGUCAGGCCAGCAUCGGUUUAGGCGGUUGGAGAAAGACCAUAGGAAUGUGGCUCCCUUCGGGGAGUGUUAUAGCCUGUGGUGUCAUGUAACCAGUUUAGACCGAGGACCGCGCCUUUGUGCUAGGAUGCUGGCGUAAUGGUCGUAAGCGACCCGUCUUGAAACACGGACCAAGGAGUCUAACAUCUAUGCGAGUGUUUGGGUGUCAAACCCAUGCGCGUAAUGAAAGUGAAUGGAGGUGGGAACCCUUAAGGGUGCACCAUCGACCGAUCCGGAUGUCUUCGGAUGGAUUUGAGUAAGAGCAUAGCUGUUGGGACCCGAAAGAUGGUGAACUAUGCCUGAAUAGGGUGAAGCCAGAGGAAACUCUGGUGGAGGCUCGCAGCGGUUCUGACGUGCAAAUCGAUCGUCAAAUUUGGGUAUAGGGGCGAAAGACUAAUCGAACCAUCUAGUAGCUGGUUCCUGCCGAAGUUUCCCUGGG
rnacentral:rRNA from 1 species